GACGAACCGUGCGAACGUUGUUCGGAUUCACUGGGCUUAAAGGGCGCGUAGGCGGGUGGCCAGGUCGGGGGUGAAACCUUUCGGCUCAACCGGAAGCCUGCCCCCGAUACCGGCCGCCUGGAGGGGGGUAGGGGCACGCGGAACUUCCGGUGGAGCGGUGAAAUGCGUAGAUAUCGGAAGGAACGCCGGCGGCGAAAGCGGCGUGCUGGACCCUCCCUGACGCUGAGGCGCGAAAGCCAGGGGAGCGAACGGGAUUAGAUACCCCGGUAGUCCUGGCCCUAAACGAUGGGUACUAGGUAGUGGGCCGGACAUGGGCUCACUGCCGGAGCCAAAGUGCUAAGUACCCCGCCUGGGGAGUAUGGCCGCAAGGCUGAA
rnacentral:rRNA from 1 species